rnacentral:rRNA from 1 species
CCUACGGGAGACAGCAGUGAGGAAUAUUGGUCAAUGGACGAGAGUCUGAACCAGCCAAGUAGCGUGAAGGAUGACUGCCCUAUGGGUUGUAAACUUCUUUUAUAUGGGAAUAAAAUGUUCCACGUGUGGGAUUUUGUAUGUACCAUAUGAAUAAGGAUCGGCUAACUCCGUGCCAGCAGCCGCGGUAAUACGGAGGAUCCGAGCGUUAUCCGGAUUUAUUUGGUUUAAAGGGAGCGUAGGUGGAUUGUUAAGUCAGUUGUGAAAGUUUGCGGCUCAACCGUAAAAUUGCAGUUGAAACUGGCAGUCUUGAGUACAGUAGAGGUGGGCGGAAUUCGUGGUGUAGCGGUGAAAUGCUUAGAUAUCACGAAGAACUCCGAUUGCGAAGGCAGCUCACUGGACUGCAACUGACACUGAGGCUCGAAAGUGUGGGUAUCAAACAGGAUUAGAUACCCUUGUAGUC